rnacentral:rRNA from 1 species
GACGAACGCUGGCGGCGUGCUUAACACAUGCAAGUCGAACGGAAAGGCCCUGCUUUUGUGGGGUGCUCGAGUGGCGAACGGGUGAGUAACACGUGAGUAACCUGCCCUUGACUUUGGGAUAACUUCAGGAAACUGGGGCUAAUACCGGAUAGGAGCUCCUGCUGCAUGGUGGGGGUUGGAAAGUUUCGGCGGUUGGGGAUGGACUCGCGGCUUAUCAGCUUGUUGGUGGGGUAGUGGCUUACCAAGGCUUUGACGGGUAGCCGGCCUGAGAGGGUGACCGGCAACAUGGGGAAGGAAAGAGGGCCCAGACUCCGAGGGGAGGAAGCGGGGGGAAAUAUGACAAAAGGGGGGGAAGCGUGAGGCAGAAACGCGGGGGGGGGAAUAGGGGCUUGGGGUUGAAAAACCGCUUUCGCCGGUGACAAAGCGGGAGGGAGGGUAAUGGAAAAAGAAGAACGGGCUAACUAGGGG